ACAAAGUGAUAGCUUGCUGUGUGUGUUGGCAGUCAAUGUUAAUAUUUUAUCUCUGUUAGCUCAUUGCACAUUUUAUUGUGUUGCACAUUUUCUUCUGUUCCACUGAAUGCUGUUUUGAUGAGUAACUCAAUUUGUUUUCAGAAUGUAGUUGGAACAGAGAGCCCAGCAGGCUACACAACAACAUAGCUGGAAAACUACUCAAAACGUAUACAAAUAACUUAAAAAGAUUUGACUGCUAAAUGGAACUUAACUGGCUAAUUUUAGCUAGCUAACAUUAACGUAGCUCUCUGGCUAAUCAUCCAUGGACAUGGAAUCUUCUAGCUUGGAUGGAAGGAUUGAGAAGUGAACAAAGGGAAUGAGUACAGAAGUUAUCCAGCAUGCUGACUAAGACAUUUAAAUAGCCUAUGUUUUGCAAUCUAUCUCUUUCUCUAUCUCUCUCCGUCUAUCUGCCUGACAGCCAGAUUGCUGAGGGUCAACAUCGUCAAUGUACUUGCUAGGCUAAGUCUAACUUAGUGAAGACCUUAGGUAAUGGUUAAUCGGGAUUCUUCUGUCUUUACAGUUCCUGAAACAUGUCAAUGACCGGAUGCAUGGCUUCUACAGCAGUGCUUGGCCACCCACUCAGUUACCAGUGACCUAUUCUGCCACAUCUCAGGGAAAGGAGACAGCAGAACCACCCCUCCCUAAAUCCAUAGUCAUUGAAAGUAUUCCUUAAAGAGGUGGGGUUUCAGGUGUCUCCGGAAGGUGGUGAUUGACUCCGCUGUCCUGGCGUCGUGAGGGAGUUUGUUCCACCAAGCGCCGAUUGUGCAAUACCUUUCAUCCCCUCCCUCCAGAAAUUAGACAGUUUGAUGAGCUGACCUGGUGAUCCCUCUUCUCUGCGACUAUAUUAGACCGUAUACCACGGGUAUGACAAAACAUGUAUUUUUACUGCUCUAAUUACGUUGGUAACCAUAUUAUAAUAUCAAUAAGGCACCUCGGGUGUUUGGAGUAUAUGGCCAAUAUACCAUGGCUAAGGGCUGCGCCUGGCACUCCGCGAUGCGUUGUGCGUAAGAACACGACCCAUCGUAUGAGAGUUCUCAUGUUUAUGUUGAGAAUCAGAGAAUACUGAAUACUUUAUUUGACAUCUUCAUGCUAUCUCCUGUUAACACUAGCAGAGGAAGGAUGCGUACCGUGGCUAGGUCAAGUGCGGUCUGUCCCUCCUGUUUCUUCAUGGUAGGGUCAGCUCUGUGGGCCAGCAUUAGAGCACACAGUGCAGGACGGCACUUCUGAGUCGGCUCGUAGACAGGGGUGAAGGCCCACUUGUCUGUAGCAUUCACACACAUGUUGAACUUGAUCAGGAGGGCUGCAAUAUCCACGUGCUGUAGAGCAGCUAUUCCCAAACUGGGGUACACGCAAUACCAUCAGGGUUACGCCAAAUAAAAAUAUAUACAAAAAUUAAAUGUAUUUUUCUUCUUUUUUUCUUCCCAUUUUCAAACAGUCCAUUUAUAUUUUCCAACGGGGCUAUACAUUUGGGUGACGUUUUUCUCUUGCCUGAGUUGCCUCGUUUCACUGCCAAAAAUAAAAUUAAACCAUCUAGUGUUCAGCAAAAUAACAACACAACGUCAAAUACAGGUAGCCUAGUCAAAUAAUUAACAUCCAAUCACAUUAACCGUUACUAUCUUACGGGAAUUCCACUAAUGGUCCGUAUGUACCUGGGAAAGCACCGAAAAACAGACAGGGACGUUGGACCAUCGAAGAGGCGGAAAUAUGAUGAGAACGAGAUUGAUUUGGGGUUCACUUAUAUUGGGAGUAGUGCCUUUCCUCAGCCACAGUGUGUUAUAUGUGCAAAAGUACUAUCUCACAACUCAAUGAAACCUUCACUCUUGCGCAGACAUUUACAAACAAAACAUGCCAAUUUGAAAAAUAAGCCACAGGAGUAUUUCAGUGAGAAUUCAGAUGACUUUCGAGUAGUAAGACAUGUAUAAAAGCAACAGAUACCAGAUCGAGCCUCACCAGGAGCAAGUGCUUUUCUUGAAGCCCCUGCCUGUCUAUUUCUUGUCCAGAAAAGGAGCAUUUAUACGAUCUAUUUCAUUGAGAUAACAGGUCAGAGUGCAGGCACAGCUACGAUUCAAGUCCAUAGUCUUCUGAAUCACCAGCUCUGCCUGACACGUCAGCAAUGCAGGGUGGCAAGCCUGCUCGAAAGUCCAAGCGGAUGGCUGUUUGCGAAGUGAGUUGGUGCUUCGGCAGAGAAAAUAAUCGAACAUGGGGCUCAGCCCACGACCCUGAGAUUUUAAGAGUCUCAUGCUCUACCGACUGAGCUAGCCAGGCACCUCAACGAUAAUAUUGACUUGGUCCGAAUAUCGUACAGCUCCGAUUGUGCAAAAUAUGGUGAUUAGUGAGAGUGUUGUUGAUGGAUCCUGUGGUGCAAUCUGUUAGCGUGGACACUUUGCAAUCUGUUAGUAGGACAUUUUUAUAUGUAAUAGGUAUGUUCACUGAACUUGUGAAGGUGGUAAAUGACCUUUUAAUGGCAUCAGACCGAGGCUCUGCAUCUGUCCUUGUGCUCCUAGACCUUAGUGCUGCUUUUCAAAUCAAAUCAAAUUU